AUUGAACGCUGGCGGCAUGCUUUACACAUGCAAGUCGAACGGUAGCAGGGUGCUUGCACCGCUGACGAGUGGCGAACGGGUGAGUAAUGCGUCGGAACGUGCCGAGUAGUGGGGGAUAACGCAGCGAAAGUUGUGCUAAUACCGCAUACGUACUGAGGUAGAAAGUGGGGGACCUUCGGGCCUCACGCUAUUCGAGCGGCCGACGUCUGAUUAGCUAGUAGGUGAGGUAAAGGCUCACCUAGGCGACGAUCAGUAGCGGGUCUGAGAGGAUGCUCCGCCACACUGGGACUGAGACACGGCCCAGACUCCUACGGGAGGCAGCAGUGGGGAAUUUUGGACAAUGGGCGAAAGCCUGAUCCAGCCAUGCCGCGUGUCUGAAGAAGGCCUUCGGGUUGUAAAGGACUUUUGUCAGGGAGGAAAUCCCUAGCGUUAAUACCGCUGGGGGAUGACAGUACCUGAAGAAUAAGCACCGGCUAACUACGUGCCAGCAGCCGCCGUAACAC
rnacentral:rRNA from 1 species